CUCAUAGCGUAUAUUUAGUUGUUGCAGUUAAAAAGCUCGUAGUCGGAUUUUGGCUGAGAACGGUCGGUCCGCCGUUAGGUGUGCACUGACUGGUCUCAGCUUCCUGGUGAGGAGGUGUGCUUCAUCGCCACUUAGUCACCGUGGUUACUUUGAAAAAAUUAGAGUGUUCAAAGCGGGCUUACGCUUGAAUAUAUUAGCAUGGAAUAACACCAUAGGACUCCUGUCCUAUUUCGUUGGUCUCGGGACGGGAGUAAUGAUUAAGAGGAACAGUUGGGGGCAUUCGUAUUUCAUUGUCAGAGGUGAAAUUCUUGGAUUUAUGAAAGACGAACUUCUGCGAAAGCAUUUGC
rnacentral:rRNA from 1 species